rnacentral:rRNA from 1 species
UACGUAGGGUGCGAGCGUUAAUCGGAAUUACUGGGCGUAAAGCGUGCGCAGGCGGUCUGUUAAGACCGAUGUGAAAUCCCCGGGCUUAACCUGGGAACUGCAUUGGUGACUGGCAGGCUUUGAGUGUGGCAGAGGGAGGUAGAAUUCCACGUGUAGCAGUGAAAUGCGUAGAGAUGUGGAGGAAUACCGAUGGCGAAGGCGGCCCUCUGGACGAUGACUGACGCUGAGACGCGAAAGCGUGGGGAGCAAACAGG